rnacentral:lncRNA from 1 species
CUGGGUCUUUCGCGCCUCCUCGGUCACGGUGGUUCUCCUCCUCCGUCGUGGUCGGAUCGGGGUAAGGGAGGCUCCCGGAGGCUAAAACUCACUCCGGCAUCACUUCGGAGGAGGUUUAGCCCCUCGCUCUCCCACUGCUCCCACCCUGGAGAAGGGCACCCCUCUCCCGCAGUCGCCAGAGCAGCUGCAGGCCGAGGAAGCGUCGGCCUCCUCAGGGGAGCUCCCAAGGGCUCGGCCCCACCUCGGGGACCCCGUUCGACUCCUCUGGCACCACUUCGGAGGAGGUCCAGGGCCUUCCCUUCUGCCGCUCCGAGGUGGGAGCAUCUCACGGAGGAGGCUCACUCCACGGUGGCACGGCGAGAGGGAGAAAAGGAGGGGGGAAGCAAAGAGAGAGGAAGGACGAGAGAAGGGCUCGGCCGGAGGUGAAAGAAGAAGAAAGAAAGGGGCUAGGGCUUCCGGUGGAGACGGAGGGGGACACAGAGAGAGAGAGAGGAGAAUGGAGACGAAGAGGCAAGAAAUCACUUGUACUACAAAAAAAUGAAAAGUCUACGGACAAUCCACUGUUGCCUCUUCCUAAGAAGGCCAAGAAGAUCCUUGUAGCUGGGAGCCACGCCAACAACUUNNNNNNNNNNNNNNNNNNNNAGGGGGGAGGAGAGAGAGGAGGAUGGAGACGAAGAGGCGAGAAAUCACUUGUACUACUAAAAAAUGGAAAGUCUAUGGACAAUCCACUGUUGCCUCUUCCUAAGAAGGCCAAGAAGAUCCUUGUAGCUGGGAGCCUAUGCCGACAACUUAGGCUGUCAGUGUGGAGGAUGGACUAUCACUUGGCAAGGACGCAGUGGGAACAAUCUAACAAUUGGUAAACAUUCUAAACACCUUAGAUUGACUUUGUUUCUUAUUUCAGACAUAGCAAAGCAUGGUAAUGUUUUGAACUUCGAGCGAUCCUUUGCAACUGGAACCACAAUCCUUGAUGCCAUCAAGGCCAUUGUUGACACCACCACCAAGGUUGUCUACUCUGAAAAAUUAUCGAAGUGGAAUCUAGAUUAAGCUACAAGACCUAACAAGUGUUCACGUAUGAGAAGGAAAACACAGGCAACAGUGCACUUUUCUAUUUUUUUCUUUUUUAUUGAGGUCAACAAGAAAUGUUACUAACAACUCUUUUUUUCGUUAGAAUCGUAAAGUAUAAAUUCGACUGUUUAACAAAUGUUUGCCCUUUGCAUAAAUCAAACAAAUAGAUCUGAUUUUUCUUUUCCCCCUUUAAUGGUAAAACACCAAAAAUACUGUGUUCAACAAGAAUGUCAAAUAUAGGAGAUAGUAGAUAUGAUACUACCAUAAAGUUUUCCUCAUAAUAAAAAAAGAAAGAUAGUACCAUAAACUAGAAAGCAUGAAAAAAAUAAUUAGCUGUCACUUCAAAUACUUACUAGAAGCCGUAAUUGUGAGAGAAACUUGAAUACAAAGAGCAUUUUAAGCCCUUUCAUUCUAAUUAUUUCAACACAAAUUUCUUAUCUUAUUUCAGACUAUAAACAUGCAGCGAAGGGGAAAAAUAUAUAAGACCGCCUGUUGCUUUCGCAUUCAAAUGAAAAAUAAAAAUGUAAGGACUCGCAGGCCUGAAUGAGGUGAAGGUUAGUAGGGUCUUCUCGUGGGUUGCCCAAAAAACNNNNNNNNNNNNNNNNNNNNUUUAGAUACAGAAACCAGCUUUGCAGCAAACCAGUGUCCUUUUAGCCUAAAUGGCUUCUCCCCUCUGCUUCAGUGGUGAAACAGAGGGAGAAAAGAAAGAAGAAGCCGAGCCCAACCAGGCCCAGUUGCCAAUCCGGGCCGAGCCCAUCUGGGCUCGGCUUGCGGGCACCCAGGGCACCGCAGGCUCAGUCGUGAUUGCCCUAGGAUACCCCGACGCGACCGCAGGGCCGUCAGGCCCUGGCCGAGUCCCACCUCCCUCCAGUGAGAAGGUGGUAGCACCACCACAGAGGGAGGCGAAAAAGAAAAUAAAAAAAAUAAAUAAAGAAAAAGAGGGGGAAAAAGGGAGGAUUGUACCUGGAUCUCUCGCGCCUCCUUCUCGGUCACGGUGGUUCUCCUCCUCCGCCGUGGUCGGAUCGGGGUAAGGGAGGUCCCCGUAGACUAAAACUCACUCCGGCAUCACUUCGGAGGAGGUUUAGCCCCUCCCUCUCCCACUGCUCCCACCCUGGAGAAGGGCACCCCUCGGCCGCAGUCGCCGGAGCGGCUACAGGCCGAGGAAGCAUCGGCCUCCUCAGGGGAGCUCCCAGGGGCUCGGCCCCACCUCGGGGACCCCGUUCGACUCCUCCGGCACCACUUCGGAGGAGGUCCAGGGCCUUCCCUUCUGCCGCUCCGAGGUGGAAGCAUCUCCCGGAGGAGGCUCACCCCACGGUGGCAUGGCGAGAGGGAGAAGAGGAAGGGGGGAAAGCAAAAAGAGAGGAAGGAUGGGAGAAGGGCUCGGGCGGAGGUGAAAGAAGAAGAAAGAAAGGGGCUAGGGCUUCCGAUGGAGACGGAGGGGGAGAGAGAGAGAG